UUAAAUCCCUUAUCGAGGAUCCAUUGGAGGGCAAGUCUGGUGCCAGCAGCCGCGGUAAUUCCAGCUCCAAUAGCGUAUAUUAAAGUUGUUGCAGUUAAAACGCUCGUAGUCGGACCUCGGAGCGCCCCCACGGGCCGGGCUUUUGCCUUGUUGCCAGUGGGAGUUUGUCUCCUCUUGUCGGGACGCGGUGUGUGGGGACUUUACUGUCUCUGCGCGUUUACCUGCGGGCCGACCGUUUACUGUGAAGAAAGUAAAGUGUUCAAAGCAGGCCAUUGCCUUGAAUAUGUGAGCAUGGAAUAAUAGAAUAGGACUUGGGCUCUAUUUUGUUGGUUUCCAGUGACCAAGUAAUGAUUAAUAGGGACGGUUGGGGGCAUUCGUAUUUCAUUGUCAGAGGUGAAAUUCUUGGAUUGAUGGAAGACGUACAACUGCGAAAGCAWCUGCCAUGGAUGUUUUCAUUGAWCAAGAACGAAAGUUAGGGGAUCGAAGACGAUCAG
rnacentral:rRNA from 1 species